GGGGGCAACCCCCGGUAGCGUGGCAGACGGGUGAGUAACACGUGGGUAACCUACCCGGAGGUGGGGGAUAACCCUUCGAAAGGAGGGCUAAUACCGCAUGACACCGUGGGGACCUCGGUCCUCGCGAUCAAAGCUGGCCUCUGUUUACAAGCUAGCGCCACCGGAUGGGCCCGCGCCCCAUUAGCUAGUUGGUGAGGUAACGGCUCACCAAGGCGACGAUGGGUAGCCGGCCUGAGAGGGCGAUCGGCCACACUGGAACUGCGACACGGUCCAGACUCCUACGGGAGGCAGCAGUGAGGAAUAUUGCGCAAUGGGCGAAAGCCUGACGCAGCGACGCCGCGUGGAGGAUGAAGGUCUUCGGAUUGUAAACUCCUGUCGAGUGGGACGAAUGCCGUGAGGGUGAAUACCCCUCGCGGUUGGCGGUACCGCUGGAGGAAGCCCCGGCUAACUCCGUGCCAGCAGCCGCGGUAAUACGGAGGGGGCAAGCGUUGUUCGGAAUCAUUGGGCGUAAAGGGCGUGUAGGCGGUCGAUCAAGUCGGAGGUGAAAUCCCUCGGCUCAACUGAGGAAUUGCCUUCGAUACUGUUCGGCUUGAGUCCUGGAGAGGGUAGCGGAAUUCCCGGUGUAGCGGUGAAAUGCGUAG
rnacentral:rRNA from 1 species